GAUGAACGCUGGCGGCGUGCCUAAUACAUGCAAGUCGAGCGAACGGACGAGAAGCUUGCUUCUCUGAUGUUAGCGGCGGACGGGUGAGUAACACGUGGAUAACCUACCUAUAAGACUGGGAUAACUUCGGGAAACCGGAGCUAAUACCGGAUAAUAUUUUGAACCGCAUGGUUCAAAAGUGAAAGACGGUCUUGCUGUCACUUAUAGAUGGAUCCGCGCUGCAUUAGCUAGUUGGUAAGGUAACGGCUUACCAAGGCAACGAUGCAUAGCCGACCUGAGAGGGUGAUCGGCCACACUGGAACUGAGACACGGUCCAGACUCCUAAGGGAGGCAGCAGUAGGGAAUCGUACGCAAUGGGCGAAAGCCUGACGGAGCAACGCCGCGUGAGUGAUGAAGGUCUUCGGAUCGUAAAACUCUGUUAUGAGGGAAGAACAUAUGUGGAAGGAACUGUGCACAUCUUGACGGUACCUAAUCAGAAAGCCACGGCUAACUACGUG
rnacentral:rRNA from 1 species